rnacentral:tRNA from 1 species
GGCCUCGUAGCUCAACUGAAUAGAGCAUCUGACUACGGAUCAGAAGGUUGGGGGUUUGAAUCCCUCCGAGGUCACCA